AAUGUUGAAAUUGCACUCAGAGUGUUCAUGUGCAUGAUGGUGUCCAACUGUUCAGGAGAACAUUCUUUUUCAAGACUGACACAAAUCUGAUU